ACGAACGCUGGCGGCGUGCCUAAUACAUGCAAGUAGAACGCACAGUUUAUACCGUAGCUUGCUACACCAUAGACUGUGAGUUGCGAACGGGUGAGUAACGCGUAGGUAACCUGCCUGGUAGCGGGGGAUAACUAUUGGAAACGAUAGCUAAUACCGCAUAAUAUUGAUUAUUGCAUGAUAAUUGAUUGAAAGAUGCUAUUGCAUCACUACCAGAUGGACCUGCGUUGUAUUAGCUAGUAGGCGAGGUAACGGCUCACCUAGGCGACGAUACAUAGCCGACCUGAGAGGGUGAUCGGCCACACUGGGACUGAGACACGGCCCAGACUCCUACGGGAGGCAGCAGUAGGGAAUCUUCGGCAAUGGACGAAAGUCUGACCGAGCAACGCCGCGUGAGUGAAGAAGGUUUUCGGAUCGUAAAGCUCUGUUGUAAGAGAAGAACGGGUGUGAGAGUGGAAAGUUCACACUGUGACGGUAUCUUACCAGAAAGGGACGGCUAACUACGUG
rnacentral:rRNA from 1 species